GAAAUGCGAUAAGUAAUGUGAAUUGCAGAAUUCAGUGAAUCAUCGAAUCUUUGAACGCACAUUGCGCCCGCAAGAGUGCUGGCGGGCAUGCCUGUCCGAGCGUCAUUUCAACCAUCAAGCCCCCGGGCUUGUGUUGGGGACCUGCGGCUGCCCGCAGGCCCUGAAAACCAGUGGCGGGCUCGCUGUCACACCGAGCGUAGUAGCAAUCACCUCGCUCAGGGCGUGCUGCGGGUUCCGGCCGUUAAACAGCCUUACAAAACCCAAGGUUGACCUCGGAUCAGGUAGGAAGACCCGCUGAACUUAAGC
rnacentral:misc_RNA from 1 species